GAUGAACGCUGGCGAGAUGCCUUACACAUGCAAGUCGUACGGGGAUUUUUAAUUCAAGUGGCGGACGGGUGAGUAACACGUAAGAAUUUGCCUUUAGGAGGGGGACAACAACUGGAAACGGUUGCUAAUACCCCAUAUGCUUUCGAGUGAAAUGGAUUUUAUCCGCCUAGAGAGAAGCUCGCGGCUGAUUAGCUUGUUGGUAAGGUAAGAGCUUACCAAGGCGACGAUCAGUAUCUGGUUUGAGAGGACGAUCAGACACACUGGAACUGAGACACGGUCCAGACUCCUACGGGAGGCAGCAGUGGGGAAUUUUCCGCAAUGGGCGAAAGCCUGACGGAGCAAUACCGCGUGAGGGAAGACUGCCUAUGGGUUGUAAACCUCUUUUUUCAGGGAGGAAUAAAAUGACGUGUACCUGAAGAAUAAGCAUCGGCUAACUCCGUG
rnacentral:rRNA from 1 species